UGGCGGACGGGUGAGGAAUACAUCGGAAUCUACUCUGUCGUGGGGGAUAACGUAGGGAAACUUACGCUAAUACCGCAUACGACCUACGGGUGAAAGCAGGGGAUCUUCGGACCUUGCGCGAUUGAAUGAGCCGAUGUCGGAUUAGCUAGUUGGCGGGGUAAAGGCCCACCAAGGCGACGAUCCGUAGCUGGUCUGAGAGGAUGAUCAGCCACACUGGAACUGAGACACGGUCCAGACUCCUACCGGGAGGCAGCAGUG
rnacentral:rRNA from 1 species